GGGAGGGGGGGCAAGCGUUGUUCAGAAUUACUGGGCGUAAAGGGCGCGUAGGCGGCCUGCCAAGUCAGGGGGUGAAAGGGCCCGGGCUCAACCCGGGAACUGCCCUUGAAACUGGCAAGCUAGAGUCCGAGAGAGGAUGGCGGAAUUCCCAGUGUAGAGGUGAAAUUCGUAGAUAUUGGGAAGAACACCGGUGGCGAAGGCGGCCAUCUGGCUCGGUACUGACGCUGAGGCGCGAAAGCGUGGGGAGCAAACAGGAUUAGAUACCCUGGUAGUCCACGCCGUAAACGAUGUGUGCUAGACGUUGGAGGUCUUAGGCCUUCGGUGUCGCAGCUAACGCGUUAAGCACACCGCCUGGGGAGUACGGCCGCAAGGUUA
rnacentral:rRNA from 1 species